rnacentral:rRNA from 1 species
CCUACGGGUGGCAGCAGUGGGGAAUAUUGCGCAAUGGGCGAAAGCCUGACGCAGCGACGCCGCGUGAGGGAUGAAGGUCUUCUGAUCGUAAACCUCUGUCAGCAGGGAAGAACGGUCACUGUGCUAAUCAGCAGUGCAUUGACGUUACCUGCAAAGGAAGCACCGGCUAACUCCGUGCCAGCAGCCGCGGUAAUCCGGAGGGUGCGAGCGUUAAUCGGAAUUACUGGGCGUAAAGCGCUCGUAGGCGGUAUGUCAAGUCAAGGGUGAAAUCCCCGCGCUCAACGUGGGAACUGACUUUGAAACUGGCAAACUGGAGUGUGUGAGAGGAUAGUGGAAUGCCAGGUGUAGGAGUGAAAGCCGUAGAUAUCUGGAGGAACAUCAGUGGCGAAGGCGACUAUCUGGAACAUAACUGACGCUGAGGAGCGAAAGCGUGGGUAGCAAACAGGAUUAGAUACCCCAGUAGUC